UGUCAUGUGAUUCUCUGAGGGAGCAGCUGCAUGAGUGGAGAUGCUUUCAGUGGAGAAUGGACUGGACCCCCAGGCUGCCAUCCCGGUCAUCAAGAAGAAGCUGGUGGGAUCCGUGAAGGCCUUGCAGAAGCAGUACGUGUCCCUGGACACGGUGGUCACUAGUGAAGACAGAGAUGCCAACACCAUGUGCAGCGCCCUGGAGGCCGUAUUUAUCCAUGGCCUGCACGCCAAGCACAUCCGAGCUGAGGCCGGAGGAAAAAGGAAGAAAAGUGCCCACCAGAAGCCUCUGCCCCAGCCUGUCUUCUGGCCCCUCCUGAAAGCUGUCACCCACAAACACAUCAUCUCCGAGUUGGAGCACCUGACGUUUGUCAACACGGAUGUGGGCCGCUGCCGGGCAUGGCUGCGGCUGGCCCUGAACGAUGGCCUGAUGGAGUGCUACCUGAAGCUGCUGCUGCAGGAGCAGGCCCGCUUGCAUGAGUACUACCAGCCCACCGCCCUGCUCCGGGAUGCUGAGGAGGGCGAGUUCCUCCUUAGCUUCCUGCAGGGCCUCACGUCCUUGUCCUUCGAACUCUCCUACAAGUCUGCCAUCUUAAAUGAGUGGACGCUCACCCCACUGGCCCUGUCUGGGCUUUGCCCGCUUUCUGAGCUGGACCCUCUCUCUACCUCUGGUGCAGAACUACAGCGGAAGGAAUCUCUGGAUUCCAUUUCCCAUUCUUCAGGCUCUGAAGACAUCGAAGUCCAUCACUCGGGCCAUAAGAUACGGAGGAACCAGAGGCUGACUGCCUCCUCCCUCAGCCUGGACACGGCCAGUUCAUCCCAGCUGUCCUGCAGCCUAAACUCUGAUAGCUGCUUACUCCAAGAGAAUGGCUCCAAGAGUCCAGACCAUUGCGAGGAGCCCAUGUCCUGUGACUCAGACCUGGGCACAGCAAAUGCUGAGGACUCAGACCGGUCUCUGCAAGAGGUAUUGUUGGAAUUCAGCAAAGCCCAGGUAAACUCUGUGCCAACCAACGGACUGAGCCAAGAAACGGAGAUCCCCACACCACAGGCCUCGCUCUCCCUCCAUGGCCUCAACACCAGCACACACCUGCACUGUGAGGCACCUGCAGAGCCCCUUCCUGCCCAGGCAGCCUCUGGAACUCAAGAUGGUGUCCACGUGCAGGAGCCGCGUCCCCAGGCGCCGCGUCCCCAGGCGCCCAGCCCCCUGGACUUACAGCAGCCUGUAGAGAGCACGUCAGGCCAGCAGCCUUCUAGUACUGUCAGCGAGACAGCCAGAGAAGUGGGCCAAGGGAAUGGCCUGCAGAAGGCCCAGGCUCAUGACGGAGCUGGUCUGAAGCUGGUAGUUUCCUCACCCACCAGUCCGAAAAACAAGAGCUGGAUCUCAGAGGAUGACUUCUACCGGCCUUCCCGGGAGCAACCCCUGGAGAGUGCUUCAGACCACCCAAUAGCUUCUUACAGGGGGACUCCAGAGUCAAGGCCUGGUCUCCACAGGCAUUUUUCUCAAGAACCAAGAAAAAACUGCUCCCUGGGGGCGUUAGACCAAGCGUGUGUACCUUCCCCAGGAAGAAGGCAAGCCCAGGCAGCCCCAUCCCAGGGGCAUAAGAGCUUCCGGGUGGUACACCGGAGGCAGAUGGGACUGUCCAACCCAUUCCGGGGUCUCAUGAAGCUGGGCACCGUGGAGCAGCGGGGGGCAAUGGGCAUCUGGAAGGAGCUCUUCUGCGAGCUCUCCCCGCUGGAGUUCCGCCUCUACCUGAGCAACGAGGAGCACACCUGUGUGGAGAACUGCUCCCUGCUUCGCUGUGAGUCUGUGGGGCCAGCCCAUAGUGACGGGCGCUUUGAGCUGGUCUUCUCUGGCAAGAAGCUGGCCCUGCGCGCCUCCUCCCAGGACGAAGCUGAGGACUGGCUGGACCGGGUGCGGGAGGCCCUGCAGAAGGUCCGGCCUCAGCAGGAGGAUGAGUGGGUGAACGUGCAGUACCCAGACCAGCCUGAGGAACCCCCGGAGGCGCCCCAGGGCUGCCUCUCUCCCUCAGACCUGCUCUCGGAGCCCGCGGCUCUCCAGGGCACACAGUUUGACUGGUCGUCCGCCCAGGUUCCAGAGCCAGAUGCCAUCAAGGAGUCCCUGCUGUACUUGUACAUGGACAGGACCUGGAUGCCCUAUAUAUUUUCUCUGUCCUUGGAGGCUCUGAAAUGUUUCCGCAUCAGGAACAAUGAGAAGAUGCUGAGUGACAGCCACGGUGUGGAGACCAUCCGGGACAUCCUGCCAGACACCAGCCUUGGGGGCCCAUCCUUCUUCAAAAUCAUCACGGCCAAGGCUGUCCUGAAGCUGCAGGCCGGAAACGCCGAGGAAGCCGCCCUGUGGAGGGAUCUGGUCCGCAAAGUCCUGGCAUCCUACUUGGAGACAGCCGAGGAGGCGGUGACCCUGGGCGGGAGCCUGGAUGAAAACUGUCAGGAGGUGCUGAAAUUUGCCACCCGGGAGAAUGGCUUCCUGCUGCAGUACCUGGUGGCUAUCCCCAUGGAGAAAGGCCUUGACUCCCAAGGCUGCUUCUGCGCAGGCUGCUCCCGGCAGAUCGGCUUCUCCUUUGUACGACCCAAGCUCUGUGCCUUCUCUGGCCUCUAUUACUGUGACAUCUGCCACCAAGACGAUGCCUCAGUGAUUCCGGCCAGGAUCAUCCACAACUGGGACCUCACCAAGCGCCCGAUGGAAUUUCACUCUUGUUGCCCAGGCUGGAGUGCAAUGGCACGAUCUUGGCUCACCACAACCUCCACCUCCCAGGUUCAAGGGAUUCUCCUGCCUCAGCCUCCCGAGUAGCUGGGAUUACAGUUUUGGCUUCGUGAUCACGUAAACCAAGAGUCACAAACUGAAAUGCCAUCAAGGGGCCAAGCAGAGAUGGGGUCUCACUCUGUCACCUAGGCUGGAGUGCAGUGGCUCAGUCAUGGCUCACCUCCCCCUCAACCUCCUGGGCUCAAGCAAUCCUCCUGCCUCAGCCUCCCAAGUAGCUGAGACUACAGGCACUCACCACCAUGGCCAGCUAAUUUUUAUUUUUUUUUGUAGAGAUGGGGGUCUUGUUAUGUUGCCCUGGCUGGUCUCCAAAUAUUGGCCUUAAGUGAUCCUUCCACCUCAGCCUCCCAAAAGCGCCACUGCACUACAGCCUGGGCGACAGAGUAAGAUUCCAUCUCAAAAAAUAAAAAUAAAGAUAAUACACACACACAUAUAUACACAUACACCUCUUUAUUUCUUCAGCGAGACCUGAAGAUAUAUAUCCAUAAUAUAAGAACAGGAUGCUAUAAAAAAUGAACAAUAAGAAAACAAGAAAAACUAUUAUAAAUUAGAAAUAUGAUAACCAAGGCUGGGUACGGUGGCUCACGCCUGUAAUCUAUUACAGGCGUGAGCCAGUGAGCCUGGCCAUUCAAUAACUAUUUUCUUAAUGAACAUUGAGGGUGAGAUGAGCAGAAACGUAACUGCUAAAAGCAGGCAACAUUCAGCUACCAGGAUUUAUGAGGGAGAACACAGUAAACUGUGCUAUUACUUAGGAAUACCUAGAGUCAAUGUACAUUUAUUUUCAUUUUACUCUAGCCCCACUGGUGAUCUCUGCCCAGUAAUCUAACUAAAUUGAUGACAGUGGGAAUGAAAGGAAAUCAUAGAUAUGUAUUAUUGUAAAGGAAAAGAAAUGCAAAUGAAUGGGUGGAGACAGUCUGUACAAUUGAAGAUCUCAUCUCUUCAUAUAUAUAUACAUAUAUAUAUAUAUAUAUUUUUUUUUUCAAGACAGGAUCUUAGCACCUACUAUUUGCAAGACUCCCCCUAUGUUAACCUUUACAGCAACUCUCGGAGGGAUGUUUUAUUAUUGAGAGAACUGAGAGACAGAGGUCAUUAAAUAUUUGUCCAAGAUCCUACAGCCGCAACAUGGUAAAUCCACUGCUAUUGGAACUUCCUGUUAAGUGAGUUCUAUGGCCCCAAACUGCAUUCCCACCCAUGUUGCUCACAGAUUGGUCACAAUGUGGCUCACCGUCACAGGCACAGGUGAAUGGAUCAACCAUUAUUUUCGAUAAUGAUUCUGGGGUAUCAUCUUUGACUCAAAAACGCAAACUGUUAUUAUUAUCUAUGCAGUCUACAGCCCUCUGCUCUACCAGCUGAGCUAUCGAAGAGUGCACAAGCUGUUAUUAUAUCACAAGAUUUUUUUUUUCAGACAGGGUCUUAUUCUGUGGCCCAGGCUGAAGUGAAGUGGCUCGAUGGUAGCUCACUGCAGCCUUGAACUCCUGGGGUCAAGCGAUCCUCCUACCUCAGCCUCCCAAGUAGCUGAAACUACAGGCAGGCACCACUAUGCCUGGCUGACUUUUGUAUUUUUUGUAGAGACGGGGUUUCGCCGUGUUGCCAGGCUAAUCUGCAACUCCUGGGCUCAAGCAUUCUGCCCACUUCACCCUCCCAAAGUGCUGGGAUUUCAGGCUAGAGCCACCAUGCCCAGCCCACAAGAUCUAAACGCUACUGUUGAAGCAAAAAGACUUGAAGACAGAAUUUGCCCUCCUAAUAUAAGCCCAUGGUAACCUGAACCUCCUUCACCCUAACUCUCAUCACAGUGUAUUGUGAUUGCUUAUUGAAGAUGAAAUUUGAUUUUCCUUUUUGAUGUUACUUCUCCAGCACAGUACCUGGUAUGUGGAAGGCACUCAAACUAGGGCCAACCUGGUGCCAGCUAACCUGGGACUAGUGCAAGCUCCUGAAAUUCACCUGGUCAAGGGACACAUGUUCACAGGAUCUCCUGGGGUUGUGUCACCAAAAAAAAAAAAAAUUUCACCUGGUGUCUCUAGUCACCAUGAUUUUCUCUAAAAUGCCACACAGAAUUCUAUGUAUGGAAUUUUUUUCUUUUCUUUUUUCUUUCUUUCUUUUUCUUUUCUUUUUUUGAGACAGUCUGUCGCCAGUCUGGAGUGCAGUGGCGUGAUCUUGGCUCACUGCAGUCUCCUCCUCCCGGGUUCAAGCGGUUCUCCUGCCUCACCCUCCCGAGUAGCUAGGACUACAGGUCCGUGCCACCACGCCCAGCUAAUUUUUGUAUUUUUAGUGGAGAUGGGGUUUCACCAUGUUGGCAAGGAUGGUCUAGAACUCUUGACCUUGUGAUCUGCCCGCCUCAGCCUCCCAAAGUGCUGGGAUUACAGGCGUGAGCCACCGCGCCCGGCCAAAAUUUCUUAAAAAUAAGGAAAGUUCAAGUUUACUUUAGAUACCAUAGUUCAGGAUUUAAACUCCUGUCCUUACUUUGGAAUGUCAUUUUAGAUACUUAUGUGAUUGACUGAGGAAAAAGACAUUGUAACUGAUCUUAUCCCCUUUUAAAAAAAAAACCAGCUAACAAUUAUUCAUUUAGUCUUCUGUACAUUGUAUGAAAUAAAAUAUAGAAGACUAGGGGACAGUUUCUGCCCUCAAGGAGCUUAUGUGGUUUUUUUCGUGCGUUUUUUUGUUGUUGUUGUUUUGUUUUUGUUGUUGUUGUUGUUUUGACAGGUUCUUACACUGUCACCCAGGCUGAAAUGCAGUGGUGAGAUCUCGGCUGACUGCAACCUCUGCCUCCCAGGCUCAAGUGACCCUCACCUCAGUCUCCUGAGUAGCUGGGACUACAGGCAUGCACCAUCAUGCCCAGCUAAUUUUUGUGUGUGUGUUUUUGUAGAGACGAGGUCUCGCCAUGUUGCCCAGGCUGGUCUCGAACUCCUGGCUUCAAGUGAUUCACCUGCCUCAGCCUCUCAAAGUGCUGCGAUUACAGUCAUGAGCCACCUCACCCCGCCAGUCAGGCUCUUAAA